rnacentral:rRNA from 1 species
UACGAAGGGGGCUAGCGUUGCUCGGAAUCACUGGGCGUAAAGGGUGCGUAGGCGGGUCUUUAAGUCAGGGGUGAAAGCCUGUGGCUCAACCACAGAAUUGCCUUCGAUACUGGACGGCUCGAGACCGGAAGAGGUCAGUGGAACUGCGAGUGUAGAGGUGAAAUUCGUAGAUAUUCGCAAGAACACCAGUGGCGAAGGCGGCUGACUGGUCCGGUUCUGACGCUGAGGCGCGAAAGCGUGGGGAGCAAACAGG